UUUCCUCAUCUAUAAAAAUGUGUUAUAAAUAGCACUUAUAACAGGAUUGCUCUGAGAACCAACCUGUUCAACCUUAGGUUUCUUUUGGGAUCCUGUGUAUUUUAUUGUAUGCUUUAAAAAAUAUCCAGAGAAAGGAUUCACAGGCUACAUCAGACUGCCAAGGUGUCAAGAGCUAAAAAAUUGAGAACCCUUGCCUUAGCUUUAAGCACUAUAUUUAUUCUCCCAACUUUAAAACUUCCAAAGAAAAGUAGCUCUAUACUUGGUGAAAGUGGAGGUAUGGUGGGGGCAGAACAAAUAAUCCUACAAAUCAGAUCAUCAUGAAAUUGAGGCCUAGGAAGGUGGAGUGUCCUUCCUGGUCACUCAGGUAAAGGUAAAGUUUGGACUCCAGUGUUCUGACUCCAGAGGCAGUUCUCUUUCUACUUUACCAUACUGACCUUGAAAAGCAAGGUAAUGGUUCUACCUCUUGCUAAUUUUCUCAGUGAUGCCAUGUAAGCUCCUCUGUGUCAUUUUCCUCUUCUGUAAAAGAAGGUUAUAAAAAAUCAAGGGUUUGUGACCAGAGAUCCAUGCCAUGAAGUUUUUAUUUUUUCAAAAUGUUUUCUUAACUUGAAAUAUGAUUGCUUUCCUUUGUAAUCCCAUAUUUUAUUUUAUGCGUUUAAAAGCAUUCUUCUGAGAAGGGAGUCUAUAGGCUUCACCAGACUGCAAAAGAGUCCAUACCCCAAAAAAGGUUAAGAACUGCUGGACUAGAUGUCUUUAAAGUUCCUUCCAGUUCAAACAUUAUUUCACUGAAUUUUUAAAGUAUGGUAUCUUUAAGGAAUGAGUGGAGUAUUCCACAGUGAGAAGAACUGAGAUCCCAAGGCCUUUCAGAAAUUAAUAUGGUCUUGUGAGAAAAGCUCUCUGAAUGCACAGCUAGGUGCUUCAGUGGAUAAAGAACCAGGUCUGGAAAUGGGAGUUCUUGGGUUUGAAUAUGGCCUAGCUAUGUGACCUUGGGUAAAUCACUUAACCCCAAUUGCAUAGCCCUUAAUGCACCAAAAGAACACUCUGUUCUUUAUGCAUAAAUGGAAAUUACUGCUAUCUAAAAAUCGGAGUUUUUUAUGUAUGACUGGCUCAGUUUAGGUCAGUAGUAUAGUUUAUUUGGACAAUGGCACACUACUGUCUUAUUAUAGUGUUUAUUAUACACUUGUGUAUACAUAGCAAUUGAAAAAGAAAUAGUCCUUAAUGAGAGAAUAUUUGUAAAGUGCUUGCUUGGUAUGUGGUAGACACUUAAUAAGUGCUUGUUUCCUUCCUUACUUUUAGAAGUUUAUAACCAGUUUCCCACUCCUUCCAUCCUUCUAGGGUGUCAAGGGCAGAAUUCUAUCUCUUUUCACUGUGUGCAAAGGAUUGCAAAAAGAGAGUAUAUUCCCUAUCUGCAGGCUUUACCUAAAUCCUGCCUGUUGACAUUGAAGUGACACAAUACAUUAGGAAGAUAAUUUCAAUUUAAUUUUCAGGAUCUUUCUUCCCUGAUCAAGAUGCUGGCUGUUUCCUAAGAAAUCAUUCAUUUCUAUGAAAAAAUGUCAGAUUUUCAUCUUCCCCCUGUAGCUUGGCUUUCAAACUUUCAUCCCUGUGAGAUUCUGAGGGGUCACCUGGGCUGCCAUAGUCCUUACAAUAUCAAAAGCAGCAUUUCCUUCCAAUAAGUUUGUCACAAGGCUGACAGCACAGCUUGAGAAAUGGGACAAGAUGUUGUAGGUGGACAUAACAUUAGAUCCCACCCGUGGCUUGAUUUUAGAUUUAACAUGGAAAGAGAUUUUUAGUCUACUAUUUGAUGCCUUUCUUUCCAUAUGGUCAAGAACUUACCAAGGCUUAUGAAAUUAGGAGUUCUUGGUAAGGUCACCAACCUAAAGCUGAUUGGCGUUAUUGCAACCUUUGCUGCUAUAACUUAAAUUGGUGAAAGAAAGACUGAGAGAUUUUGAAGACUUGUAGUAGUAAAGAUGGGCAGCGAGUUGGCACAAGGCCGAGCUUGGAGUCAGGAAGACUCAUCUUCUUGAGUUCAAAUAACUAGCUGUGUGACCAAGGCUAAAUCACUUCACCCUAUUUGCCUUAGUUUCCUUAUAUGUAAAAUGAGCCAGAGAAGGAAAUGUCAAACUGCUCCUGCACCUCUGCCAAGAAAACGAAAACCACUCGACAACCACCACAACAAAAUUGGGGAGAUAGAAAAAUGGAACAGAGAACAAGAACUGCUGUGGCCAGAGAUGAGACGUGUUGGUGAGAGACUAGCCUUGCUGUGGGAAACCAGCAUCCUGAAAUCAGACUGAUAGCUGCCAUGCAUCCUCAGGCAUUGCUGAGAACAUGCUGAGACAUCUAUCCCAACCCCAGUAUAGAAUAGUAUUUUCUUCAUUUGUUUGCAGAGGUGAUCUUCUUGAUAUUGUUCAGUUGUUUUCAGGCCUGUCUGACUCUUCCUGAUGCCUUUUAGGAAGUUUCUUGGCAAAGACUCUGGAGCGGUUCACCAUUUCCUUUCCCAGCUCAUUUUACAGAUGAGGAAACUGAAGCAAACAGAGUAAAGUGACUUGUCCAGGUCACAUAGCUAAUAGGUUUACAAGGCCAGAUUUGAACUCAGAAAGAUGAGUUUCCUGACUCCAAGGCCAGUGCUUUAUCUACCUAACUGUCCCAGAGCUGAUCUUAGUAAAUUCCAAACAAAAUCUCUUCAUUUAUGAUCCUUCAACCAUCUUGAAAGAAGGCUGUGGUAGGUUAGGUAGGUGAUUGAAUGGAACAGCUUCCUUAGAUUUUUGCUCUGCAACAGUAUUUUUAUUGUUUAAACUUUACCGCAUUUCAAAAAUCAUAUGGUCACUAAAAGUCAGAAUAGUUGAUAAAGAGUUAGAGGUUUCUCAAAUGGAGGGUAGAGAGAGCCAUAUUGAAAAUUUCAUAAUUCUCAUCUUUCAGACUAAUAUUCCAUUUCUCUUCUCUUAAACUAAAACUUUAAUUGGAUGUUAUUAAAUCUGAUGCAUAUUAAAAAUUUCCUUUUUAGUUUCUCUAGAAAUAUUAAGAAGUGAUAUUUCUCUCUGAAGCCCUUUCCACAUUCUUGGAGAAAGCCAGUAAGAAAGGGGAAAAGAGGAAAGGAAGAAAUUUUGUUCUUGAUCCCGUUCUCUUGCUGCAUUCUGGUCUGGAAGCCAAGGAAAAGAAAACUGAGGAGAAGAAAAAGGGCAAACUGUUUCAUAGCUUAAUUUCAUGGUUCUCAGGAAAAGAACAGUCACUAGAAAAAAGUCAGCAAGUAAGUAGAAAUGCUCAUUCCAUGGGUACUGCUCUCCAGAUGACUCUAGGCUACUUUUUUUUUUUUUAACCAACUGUAGGUGACCCAGAGAUAUCUCAAACUCAACAUGUCCAAAAUAGAACUCAGAAUCUAUCAACUUCCUUCCUUUCCAUCUUUCUCUUCUUCUCGUCCAUCCUUCUUUCCUCCUCUUUUUCUUCCUUCUUUUCUCUCUGCCCUUUCUUCCUUCUUUUCCUCCCUUCUUUCUCUUUCUCUAGAACCCUUACCUUCUGUGGAAGUGCCUGUGGUCAAUUUUGAACCCAGGACCUCCCAUCUCUAGCUCUGGCUCUCUAUUUACUAAGCCACCUCACUUUUCCUCCCCAUAUCUUUCAUCUGUCUCCCAGGUUCAAAAUCUCAAUGUAUUCCUCAAUUCUUCAAUCUCUCUCAUCUAACAUUAGUUGAGUGAUUUCUACCUCUGCAACAUGUCAUACAUCCAGCCCUUUCCCUUUACUCACAAAGCUAUCAUUUUAAUUUUAGUUCAAGCCCUCCUACAGGCUCUCCAAGACUACUUCAAAGACCACCAUAUUGGCUGCUCUCACUCAUCUCUUUCCACUACAGUCCAACCUCCAUAACAGUCACCAAGGUUAUUUUCCUUACUCGUGGAUAGGAGUUUAUCACAUACACUCCUAUUCAGUAAAUCGGCGUGUAUGGGGUGUUUAGCCAGGGUGAGCAUCUCUGGUGUGAAGACUGCUGACCUCAUUUCUCUUGAUGUCCACCUUUCACUCAAUUCUCCCCCGUGGCUUCUAGCUGUAGGCUGUGCAGUGGUCACACCCCAGUAAAAUCAUCAUGGCAGAUAGGCUAAACAAGGUGAAGGGUGACCAACAAGCCUCAAACCUAUGGGCAAGUUAGAGGAAUGUCUAUACCAAGCACGUGAAGACUUCCUUUGGCAAAAUGGGCUGAUGAGAACAAUCUAUUCCAAUAGCCAGGAAGGCCACUGAAGCAAAUGCUGUGGAGUGCUUAGAGCUUGGUCAGACAUUGAAGAUGCCAAGGUUAUUCAUAGCACCCCAGUUCACUGCCAGUUACACCAACUUUUGUCUUGCUAUUGGACUUUGAUGAUCAUGGAAGACAGAAGACUUUGUGUAACUUUGCCUCCCUUAAAUCCAAUUGACAUAUAAGUUAAGAUACCUUACUUAUGAUAUCAUUGCUCCUCUUCAAAAAAAGGAUGAACUCAGUCAAUUCUAGUGUCUCUCUUUCCUCUAGAAUAAAACAUAAACUCAUUUCUUUGACUUUAGAAGCCCUUUGAACCGGACUCUUAAACUAUUUUUCCAGUUUCAUUAUAUAUUAUCCCCCUUCCUCCAUUAUACCAGGAUUCUCUUUAUUCUACACAGGGCAUUCCACCUCCCAUUUCUGUGGCCAUCCCCAAUUCUCCAAUCCCUUCUUACUCAUUCCUCAUGGGAUCCUUUUUAUCCUUCAAGACUAAGCUCAAGUACUACAUUUUAAACAAAGCCUUUGCUGAUCUCUACAAAUGGUGAUGGUUUUGCUUUAUUUUGCUCUACAUCCGUUCAAUAAAAUUUCCCAUCUUUCAAAUUCUUUAGGAACUUUUUCUAUUGACUUUGAAUUUAUUACCUUGUAAUAACUUUCUAUAUUCUUACAUUUGUACAUGUUUCCUUCCCUCUUCACACCCUUUCCCCCUAACCCUGGCACUCUAUAGAAAGGAUAGAAUGUAUGCUCCUUCAGUGUAGGUGUUGUUCCUUUUUUAAAAUCUGUAUCUCCAGUGCCAAGCAUAAUAUAUAAUGCAUACUGGGUACUUAACAAACCUCAUCAGAUUGAUUAUGGAAGUCACCUAACACAAGUCUUCUUAUACUAAGAAAAUAACUCAGGUUUCAGGUUGGGAACAGUCAGUGUUAGAGGUACAGCAGGGGGAUGAGUGUACUCAUGAACAAUUUGGUGGAGCUGUCAAGAAAGGCCCAACCAUUCUAGAUUUCAAUUUGACAUUUUGCAAGAAAAGUGACUAAAUUGUUCACAGUCUUUAGCCCAGUGAUCCUAAUACUGAGCAGAUAGCCAAAGUGAGUCAAGGACAGGAAAAAAAAAGUCUUACACUGAAAUAUUCACAGUAGCAGUUUUUAUGAUAGCAAAGAACUAGAAACAAAAUGAAGGCCCAUUCAUUGGGGGAUGACUCUAUAAUGUCUGGAAGUUAAAAAAUAAUCAAAAUGGAGAAUUUGGAGAAACAUAGGAGACUUGUAUGAAAUAAUGCAGAAUAAAAUAAAUAGAACCAAGAGACUAUAACAAUGCAAAUGCAAAUGCCACUAAAAGGAAGUUCAACUGUGUGUGAUAGAAAAAACCAUUGAAGAUCCCAGAAAAGAGAUAUUAAACAUAUUUCUUCUCUCACAGCUGAGGGAUGAGUGAUAACGAGGAUAAAAUAUUGGAUACAGUGUCAGACUUUGUCUCUGUGGUAGAUUUUUUUGUUUCAAUAUUUUUAUUUGUUACAGAGGAAGAGUUCAAUCUGGAGACUGGGAAGGGAAAUUACUGUGAUGUAAAGACAAAAGGUAUCAAUAAUACAUUUAGUUUUCUUUCCUGGUCAUCAAAAUAUGAACACUCAAAUGGCAUUGACACUCAGGCUGGCAAAUCUUUAUUUUUUGUUUAAGAUGAAAAAAAGUCUUAAUUAAAAAAGAAAAAAAAUUCAUUUCAAAAAGAUGAAUGGGAUAGGGGUAGGGGACAACCACAAGGGGCCAAAGGGAACUUUUAGGCAUCUAAGGGCUUAAAUGAAAUAUUCCUAGUCCACCUCUCCUUAUCCUCUUAUCCUCUUCUCAGUUUUACAAACAUUUCUGUGAUCAAAUUUAUCCAUCAUUUUCUCCAUGUGUAAGUGAAGACCAUCUUUGAGGCUUAAACCAGCACCUUUUUCACAGUGUUAAGAGAGUAUCACUAUAUCUGCUUAGGUACAUUGCAGAACUACUUAGGUCAUUGCUGCUAGAAGGGAGGAAUACUGGGAGAAAUUGAAGUGGCCUGGAAGGUUUGAUAACUUCAAGAGGCCUUAGCUUCUCUUCCUAUCUGGAGAAUAGGAGAAUUCCUAUUCUCCUCCCAAUCUGCUCAAUUCUUUGAUUUUCCUGUUUCAAGCAAGAAGCAUGCCCUUCAUUCUUCUGAAGUGUUAAAAGUAAGUUAUUUUCCCUCCCCACCUAUGGGACUUCCUUGGCUACCAUAACAGGAAGUGCUAUUGACCCAUUCCUUAAGAGGGAGCAGGGGAGAGAAGGUGGUGAGAAGAGAGAAAAAGAGAGGGAGAAGGAACGAACAACAUUUAGGGCUUCUUCUUAUAUUGGCUGAGAGCCACAUUAUACCAAUCAGUUAGAAAAGGGAGGGGAGCUCCACCUCUCUUGCUGCUGAUCUAUCUCUGGACUAGUAGCUCUGGGUCAUUUAGAAUUUAGAAUACAUUUCUGGACAUUUGGUGAUUCCAGCCAGUGUACAACUGAGUGGGAUCUUCUACACUUAUUCUCUCAGUAGCUUUAAGCCAAGAGCUCAUCGUUUGUUAAUCAGCUCAUAGAAAGGUGGGGAUCAGAAGGGUUUGGUAGAAGUCAAGAUCACAGAACUGGAAGAAAUGUUGAUUUCGGUGGGGUGAACUGACCCAUGCUAUCUUAGGAUCUAGUUCAAAGGCAUUGUGGUGGGGUGGAAAGAGCACCAGUGAGAAGACCUGGGUUCAUGUCUUUGUUCCACCAUGAAAUAGCUGUGUGAGAGCAAAUCCUUUAGUCCGAGUCUCACUUUCCCCAUUUUCCAAAUGGAGAUAACUAAAAAGUUAAGGAAAUUGCUUUCGAAACCAUAUGGCAUUAUAUGAAUGCAUUAUCAUCCCACUAGACAUUUACCCACAUACUCCAGGUCAAUGCACAGCUCCUGUCAGGAUUCUGGAAAGAGGACUAGACUUGGCAACCUCUAAAGUCUCUUCCAACUUUAAGCCUCCCCAUAUGCACCAAAACAUUUAUAGCAGCUCUUUUUGUAGUAGCAAAAAAAAAAAUAAUAGCUAGCAUUUACAUAGUGCUUUAAGGUUUACAAAGUGCUUUAUACAUAUUAUCUCAUUUUAUCCUCAUAACAACCCUGGGAGAUAGAUGUUAUUCCUAUUUUAUAGAUGAGGUUACCCUGGCAGACAGAGGUGAAGUGACUUGCCCAGAGUCACAGGUUUGAACUUAAGUCUUCCUCAUUCUGGCUCUAGCACUCUAUCUAUUAUUCCACCUAAUUGUCUUAAAACUGGAAACAAAAUAAAUGUCCAUUGAUUGGGGAAUGGCUAAACAAGCUAUGGCACAUGAUAUAAUAGACUAUUACUAGGCUGAGAAUAGAAGCAUAGGGGAAGAUUUACAUGAACUGAUGCAAAGUGAAGUUAGUAGAACCAGAAAGACAAUAUAUAGUCACCACAACAUAAAUGGAAACAAUGGCAAUAAAACAACCCAAACUGAAUGCUGGGAAAUGAUCACGAUCACAUUUGUUCCCGGAGAAGAGAUAUCAGAACAUGCCUUUCCCACAUCUUUGCGGGGGCUUGGAGUGGGCAACACUGCCUAGUGUGAUGUAUUGGGUGAGUUUUGCUACACUUUUUCUUUCUAUUGGAAAUACUGGGAUAUGUAGGUGAUAUAAAAAUUAGAUGUCAACAAUUUUUUUAAACGAAUCAUUGAUUGUAGAAUUCUUUUUAUCCCAAGACCUUGCACAGUAUUGGGGAGCUUUUGAUUUUUCUGACAGUUAUCUGAUCAUGGAGUGGUAGUUUUUUGGAAAGUGGGAGGAAAGGAAUGGAGAAGCUCACUUCAUAUCAGUGAAGAUUAAAUAGAUGUUACCAGAAAAGCAACAUCAACUAGAAGGAACAUUAUGACUCUAAAUUUCUAAGAGAUACAUAAGCAAGGAAUGAUGUUCUAUUUAUCCAUUUCUCUCAGCUCUCCAUUUAGUCUACUAAGGAAAAUCCCAGAGCUAAGUGAAGCUUUAUAUAUACUCUUCUGGAGAAGCUUGAACUCAGAUACUGAUUCCCAUAGACUUUUUUUUUUAACACUUAUAUUCUGUCUUAGAA